AUGCACGAGUAUUAAAGGAAAUCUUGUUUCCUUGUAGAAGUAUGAAUCUUUGCGGACCUUUCUAGGCUAUCUGAUUACUAACCAUAUUUCGGGACAAAUCUAGAAUUACAUUGUCAAUAAAGCAACUUGAGGAAGAUCCACUCCUGGAAACUCUGGAAAAAGUAAUGCCUCAGGAUGCAUCAUCAAGUCCUGAUUACUCAGAAAAUAGCUAUGAAAUUGAGCCUCUUCCUGGCCUGGAGAUAAUAUUUCAAGAGCUACUGCAGGAAGAUGGCAUUAAAGAUGUGAAAAUCAAUCGACAAGGAUUUGAGAAACGAA